CCGACCUUGAAAUACCACCCUUUAAUGUUUGAUGUUCUAACGUGGACCCGUUACCCGGGUUGCGGACAGUGUCUGGUGGGUAGUUUGACUGGGGCGGUCUCCUCCUAAAGAGUAACGGAGGAGCACGAAGGUUGGCUAAUCCUGGUCGGACAUCAGGAGGUUAGUGCAAUGGCAUAAGCCAGCUUGACUGCGAGCGUGACGGCGCGAGCAGGUGCGAAAGCAGGUCAUAGUGAUCCGGUGGUUCUGAAUGGAAGGGCCAUCGCUCAACGGAUAAAAGGUACUCCGGGGAUAACAGGCUGAUACCGCCCAAGAGUUCAUAUCGACGGCGGUGUUUGGCACCUCGAUGUCGGCUCAUCACAUCCUGGGGCUGAAGUAGGUCCCAAGGGUAUGGCUGUUCGCCAUUUAAAGUGGUACGCGAGCUGGGUUUAGAACGUCGUGAGACAGUUCGGUCCCUAUCUGCCGUGGGCGCUGGAGAACUGAGGGGGGCUGCUCCUAGUACGAGAGGACCGGAGUGGACGCAUCACUGGUGUUCGGGUUGUCAUGCCAAUGGCACUGCCCGGUAGCUAAAUGCGGAAGAGAUAAGUGCUGAAAGCAUCUAAGUACGAAACUUGCCCCGAGAUGA
rnacentral:rRNA from 1 species